AACCGCGAGGUCAAGCAAAUCCCAUAAAGUUGUUCUCAGUUCGGAUUGUAGUCUGCAACUCGACUACAUGAAGCUGGAAUCGCUAGUAAUCGUAGAUCAGCAUGCUACGGUGAAUACGUUCCCGGGUCUUGUACACACCGCCCGUCACACCACGAGAGUUUGUAACACCCGAAGCCGGUGGAGUAACCUUUUAGGAGCUAGUCGUCGAAGGUGGGACAAAUGAUUGGGGUGAAGUCGUAACAAGGUAGCCGUAUCGGAAGGUGCGGCUGGAUCACCUCCUUU
rnacentral:rRNA from 1 species